rnacentral:ribozyme from 1 species
GAACUUGGAAACCCUUUCUUGCAAAAAUUUCGUAGCCACCUUCUACCGUCUUCGAGCUCAGCAGAACCUGAAAGUCUGGAGCCACUGCACCGCUCUUGACGCAUGGCCCUGGAACAAUCUCCUCAAUCUCUUCCAUUCCGUCCAGCGUG